GGUGAUAUAGUUUGUAUAUGAAAUGCAUAAGAUUGUAAUCACUACCGCAGUAUGGAAAGGCCUCUUAUGAGGGGAAUCUGAAGAUGGUGACACACUACUCAUUCGAAGAAAACUGCGAGAAUGAGUAUUAUGAUUUGAAGCAUCAUCUGCUUCUCCUCCUUCCCCAUCUCCACGGAGUAAUCCAUCUGAGCCCAUUCUGGGAGUGAGAUGUCUAGUCAUUGACCCAGAAUCAUUUGUAACAUCUACAUGAAGUGAAACAGAUGGUCGAACAGUCGGCCCCUGCACGGUACUUCGCUUCUUUAGUUCUUCUUCUGCAUUUAUUAUCUGUUAAGCACCGACAUGGGAAACACAUUAGCAAGCAACUUCUGGAGCAUCCACAAAACUCUUUACAAGCCGAAUUAACC
rnacentral:lncRNA from 1 species